AAGACAUUAGUUAAGCUCGUAAUAACACCGCCUUGUCGAGGCGGAGUCGUGGGUUCAGCUCCCGCAUGUCUUG
rnacentral:tRNA from 1 species